GAAGGUGAGCGCAGUCUGGCUGUGACAUGUGACACUCGCUGAUUACCAGGGUUGAAUCCUCUGAUACAGGCCACAGGAGGCUGUCCCCUUUCUCCCUCUCAUUUCCUUCACUUAUCUUUCAAAGUUUCAGGAUGAAAGAGAAUGGUCUACCCAGAUAGAAGAGGCCAUACUUCAGUCAAAAGUAUAUGAAUGACUAUGUUUUUUGCCUAAGAUCUCUAAGUUUUCAAAGAGUCUCUUUUUAUUUGAAAUCUCAGGAUAAGAAUAUGAACCAGGUUAUUGAUCAGUUGAUCAUCUAGCUAUUGCCUGAUAAUUUCCUGGCCAUGAUGCU
ensembl:misc_RNA 7SK 7SK RNA